rnacentral:rRNA from 1 species
UACGAAGGGUGCAAACGUUGCUCGGAAUUAUUGGGCGUAAAGCGCACGUAGGCGGCUUGGCAAGUCGGAUGUGAAAUCCCUCGGCUCAACCAAGGAAGUGCAUCCGAAACUGCUGAGCUUGAGUACUUAAGAGGAUCGCGGAAUUCCCGGUGUAGAGGUGAAAUUCGUAGAUAUCGGGAGGAACACCAGUGGCGAAGGCGGCGACCUGGGAAGAUACUGACGCUGAGGUGCGAAAGCGUGGGGAGCAAACAGG